rnacentral:rRNA from 1 species
AUUGAACGCUGGCGGCAGGCUUAACACAUGCAAGUCGAGCGGAGCGAGGGUGCUUGCACCUUAGCUUAGCGGCGGACGGGUGAGUAAUGCUUAGGAAUCUGCCUAUUAGUGGGGGACAACAUCUCGAAAGGGAUGCUAAUACCGCAUACGUCCUACGGGAGAAAGCAGGGGAUCACUUGUGACCUUGCGCUAAUAGAUGAGCCUAAGUCGGAUUAGCUAGUUGGUGGGGUAAAGGCCUACCAAGGCGACGAUCUGUAGCGGGUCUGAGAGGAUGAUCCGCCACACUGGGACUGAGACACGGCCCAGACUCCUACGGGAGGCAGCAGUGGGGAAUAUUGGACAAUGGGGGAAACCCUGAUCCAGCCAUGCCGCGUGUGUGAAGAAGGCCUUAUGGUUGUAAAGCACUUUAAGCGAGGAGGAGGCUCUUUUGGUUAAUACCCAAGAUGAGUGGACGUUACUCGCAGAAUAAGCACCGGCUAACUCUGUGCCAGCCGCCGCCGUAA